ensembl:lncRNA
UGAAAGACGACACAGUUGCUGUGUUUUCUCCUUAUCGAUGUACUCUGCCGAUUCCAGGAAGUCAGUCGAUCCAAUAGGAUGCGUCUCAUUUAAUCACGUAUUUUUAGAGGUCGCUGAUUGGCGGCCCAAUUAGUCGCGUCGCAGCCUCUGUUUACCGGAAGUGAUUGAGAUUAGGGGGUGAGAGGAUGGGUGUAGAUUGAGAUUAGGAACAUGAAAUGGAGCUCAGAAGGGAAGGAACUGAAGCUUGGACAGAAAGACAACAAACAACAGCUUCUGUUUGUGGAUUUUAAAUGCUUCUGUUUGUUGAAGGGGAAACCUGUCACAUGGCCAUCAGAUGAAGCUCACUUCCUGCUGCGACUAAAAAUAUCAUCUGCUAUUCUAAGAAGGAAAAAAAAAGCAUGAACAGCGUCCAAACUGUCGGAAAUAAUCAACAUAAAAACAUGUUUUUCCAUCCACUUCCUGUUUAAGAAGUCUUCUUUCAGAUAAGGCUGGCAUUUUUACCCUGAUGACUUUACAGUCCAACCAAGAACUACUCGAGACUAAAGAACGGCUCGUUAAUGAGAUAACCGGGAUUAACCGGAUUAAAGUCUCUGUGUUAGGAAAACUGUUCGAAGGAAGGAAGAGGGAGGAAAGAUGGAUGAGAGAGGA